GGGGACUUAGCUCAGUGGUAGAGCGUUUGCUUAGCAUGUAAGAGGACGGGGGUUCGAUCCCCCCAGUUUCCA
rnacentral:tRNA from 1 species